rnacentral:lncRNA from 1 species
UUCUUUAGAGUAUUUAUUUGUGUCGUUUGGAAGUACGGUUUGAGAGCAGCUAUCAGUUUAGUUUGCUGUCCCGAAAUAUAUGUUCCUGGGUACAGUAUUUUGAUAUGGGAGGUUAGGCCCAGUUAGAGGUGGUAUUAAAAUAAAGUUACAACAUGAAAAUUUUAGAGGCUGUUCUGUAGAUACUUAAAACACAUAUCACUUGUCAGGUUUCGUUCGGUAUAUUAAAUCCUAUGAAAUUAUCAAAGUGGGUUGUACUAUGUUGGACAGAAUUUUAUGUUUGGACUUGGGUGAAUGUAACCAGACUUAU